UGCUCCUGUCCGUGCUCCUGUCCGUGCUCCUGUCCGUGCUCCUGUUCGAGCUCCUGUUCGAGCUCCUGUCCCCUGUUUGCUUUCCUCUUUAAACCCCCAACCUGACAAGGGGAGAGAUCAACAAGUUUGUAAUUGCAAGACAACGGUGAAGUUGAUAGUAACGCAAGUACUCACUAAAUCUUGCCAGAUGUACGUCGUCAGGAUUUGGGCCUUUUCGUCCUGGAAAAAGAACCAACAUUUGGUAUCUUCCGAGGCAUGCAAACGAGAAGGGCCAGAAUCUGCAGAACAAACACUUGGACCCAGCGAGGGACGGAAGAGAAGUUAGCAGAGCAGCUCAACAGAUUGGUGACGAGGAUAGUCUCCAGCAGACUGGCCACCAUCAG